GGAAACAAUGGCGAUGACGACAACGGAAAUGACAACGAUGGGAACGACGAUAAUGGAAACGACGACGGUGGAGACAAUAACAAAGGGAGUGGAUCCACAAAUAGCAGGGGAAAUUAAUACAGUGAGCGGAUCCACAUAAAACAGGAUAUAGAAUUGAUAUAAUCUACCGAUGCAGACAAAGUCAUUUGAUUGCUUUUAAUUAUUUAAUUAAAGUGUUUACUUAUUACAUCUACGUUACAAAAUUGAAAAAUUAUGUUUCGUAAUGAAUUUAACAAUGUCUGUUCACAAUACAACAGAUCAAUAAAUACAUAUGAAUG
rnacentral:sRNA from 1 species